GGGCCGGUAGCUCAGUUGGUAGAGCAACUGACUUUUAAUCAGUGGGUCCCGGGUUCAAAUCCCGGCCGGCUCA
rnacentral:tRNA from 1 species